rnacentral:rRNA from 1 species
GGAAGUAAAAGUCGUAACAAGGUCUCCGUUGGUGAACCAGCGGAGGGAUCAUUACCGAGUUUACAACUCCCAAACCCCUGUGAACAUACCUAUACGUUGCCUCGGCGGAUCAGCCCGCGCCCCGUAACAAGGGACGGCCCGCCCGAGGACCCCUAAACUCUGUUUUUAGUGGAACUUCUGAGUAAAACAAACAAAUAAAUCAAAACUUUCAACAACGGAUCUCUUGGUUCUGGCAUCGAUGAAGAACGCAGCAAAAUGCGAUAAGUAAUGUGAAUUGCAGAAUUCAGUGAAUCAUCGAAUCUUUGAACGCACAUUGCGCCCGCCAGUAUUCUGGCGGGCAUGCCUGUUCGAGCGUCAUUUCAACCCUCAAGCUCAGCUUGGUGUUGGGACUCGCGGUAACCCGCGUUCCCCAAAUCGAUUGGCGGUCACGUCGAGCUUCCAUAGCGUAGUAAUCAUACACCUCGUUACUGGUAAUCGUCGCGGCCACGCCGUAAAACCCCAACUUCUGAAUGUUGACCUCGGAUCAGGUAGGAAUACCCGCUGAACUUAAGCAUAUCAAUAAGCGGAGGA